rnacentral:misc_RNA from 1 species
UAAAAGCUUAGUUUAGUUGAGUUGCUGUAUAAUGUCUUUAAGCAAUCAUUAAUAACUGAUUUUCUUGGUUAUUGAGCUUAUGGUCAAAAUAUAACCACUAGAACUAUUUAGGGAAUUAGGAUCAAAAUUUUUUGAAAGACAAUUAACAUGUUGAUGCUAGUUUAUUUAGUUGUUUUGGUUGAUUGUUCUGGUGCUUUUGGCUCGUGUUCCUGCUUUGUUAGAAUGAGG